rnacentral:tRNA from 1 species
GGAAAGGCAGUGUCUCAGUGGCAGAGCAUCUGCCUUGCAUGCAGAAGGUCCAAGCUUCAAUCCCUGACCUCUCCA